AUUGAACGCUGGCGGCAUGCUUUACACAUGCAAGUCGAACGGUAACAGGCCGCAAGGUACUGACGAGUGGCGAACGGGUGAGUAAUGCAUCGGAACGUGCCCAGUCGUGGGGGAUAACGCAGCGAAAGCUGCGCUAAUACCGCAUACGAUCUAUGGAUGAAAGCGGGGGGCCGUAAGGCCUCGCGCGAUUGGAGCGGCCGAUGUCAGAUUAGGUAGUUGGUGGGGUAAAGGCUCACCAAGCCAACGAUCUGUAGCUGGUCUGAGAGGACGACCAGCGACACUGGGACUGAGACACGGCCCAGAGUCCUACGGGAGGCAGCAGUGGGGAAUGUUGGACAAUGGGCGCAAGCCUGAUCCAGCAAUGCCGCGUGCAGGAAGAAGGCCUUCGGGUUGUAAACUGCUUUUGUACGGAACGAAACGGUCCUGGUUAAUACCCGGGGCUAAUGACGGUACCGUAAGAAUAAGCACCGGCUAACUACGUGCCAGCCGCCGCCGUAAGAC
rnacentral:rRNA from 1 species